UACAAUAAUGUGUUGUGUCUAAACUGGUAUACAAUUGACGGACUGAAUAUAGGCCUUUUCAUGUGACAGGUCCAUCUAUGUAUUUGUUUACAUCGGUGGAGGACCGGUGCAUACACGAGGCUGUCAUUUUCAUAGAAGAACUGUCAAAGAGCUUCCCGAUCAGCUGUUUUGGAACGUCAUGUGAUCAGGCCUAUUCUGGAACUAUCAGACAAUAGAGAGAAUGAAAAUGUAACUAAACAAUCGUUGGAUUGUGUUCGGUCUGGAAAGAUCGAAAGAUUUUGUUUCGCUUGCCGUUUAGAAUUAAUGAAAACACGUUGUGCAUAGUGGAAGACACACUGUUUUACUGUACAAAUACACAUUCUAGCUUCUCCUCUGUCGUACUGCCCGCUACAGGCAUUACCAU